CGGUUUUUAUUAAACUGUAAAGACUUCGGGCCUUCGGCCCUCGGUCUUCACAGUUUAAUAAAAACCUCUCCCUUGGCUUUUAACCUACAUUUACACUGUCAAAAUGUAGACCAAGGCUGGUACUGGUAGUGUAAGCACGACUCAUGUAUAUGCCGAACCGAAAAGGCAAGCAUAUUUCGCCAUGCUUCAGCGAUAUGGUAAUGAGCAUGCUUUUAUGUUGCAUCGCGUACGUUCAGCCGUUCCGCACGUUGUAACCAAUAAUCUAUUGGCGCAAUAAUAAGUCAUUGCAUGCAAUAAAGUAUUCCGU